AUGUAGGAGCAAAGGCGUGGCUGUUUCCUGACUGUUGAAGCCCUCACUGCCCAAAAUAGCUACUGUUGACUUCUUCCCUCCAGUUUUAGGGAAGCAGAGUUAUUUCUGAGUCGAGCAGAGGAAAAUUUGGUAGCACAUAAGUUUUGUCCCUAUGCCCUAUCACCGUCAUAUUUAUUCAGCUCCUACCAUUAUUUUGACACAUUACAGAGAUACAAACAGUACAGAGCCCUCCUCCAAGAAGAUUACACUCCAAGCAGGCAACUCCCAGACAGAGGAAGGGAAGAUGCAUUGCCUUGAUUUUCAAAGCCUGGCCCUUUUCUCCUGAUGCAUUCUCAUAUGGGCUUAUGAAGGCAAGGACCUACAAAUUCAGACACUCUCUUUCUUCACUCCUGUUCAGAAAACCCCCUCUCCUGCCUUCACUGUUGAAAUGAGGGACUCGCUCUUCCCAUUCACCUUUCCAUGAUAGCAGUGUCCUUAUGACUCAAUGGAAAAAUGUUAAUAAUCGUAGGAAAAAGAUUCUCUUUAGAACGUGAGAACUGCCAUUUAUUGUGUCAGACCGUUGGUCCAUCUUGCUCAGUAUCCUGUGUCACACAAUGGCAGAGAGUGAGUGCUGAAAGGAAGAGUGGGUAAUAUCAGGGUUUUUUCACCUGUUCCUCUCCCACAUGCAGCUUCCAGCAUUUAAAGCCUACGAAGUUCUGAUUGGACCCUUAAAUGGCAUAAAUAAAGGAAGAGCUGCAGAAUGCAAGGCCUCCUGUAUUUGGAAGAUAAAGUUCUUGUGGGGAUGCCCCAAGGUCCAGUGAAGCUGACAGUCCUUUGGCUUCACUGAUCUCGAGCUAAAGCUAUUAGGAUGCCUAUACAUGAACAUCAAGCUUCAGUUAAAUUGCCCCCAACACCAUUUUUAAGCACAGGGGCACUGAUACACGGGAUGCUCCAAGUGCUUGAAUUAGAAUGGCUCUCUGAACCGCUCUAAGUAAAGUGCCCCCUUUCCCCAGCCCCCACAACUCCCAGAGCACAUUUACAAAUACCCUUAGUUCCUGGACAUCUUGGGAAUAAACCUGAGAGAAAUAUCUGUAAAAAGAACAGAGAACAAGAAUGCCUUAUUCCAGCAACAAAGCUUAUUUUUUAUAUACACUUGUGCUCUGCCCUCUCUGCCUCAGUGGGCCUGUUGAAUAUGUGCACAGUAUUCAUGACAGAGAUUAACUUUGUAGUUACAUAUAUUAACUACAGAAAAGUAAAUCAUGCUGUCUUGAAAACCUUGGAGUCUGCUAGUGGCCACUGCCAUUGUGUUCAUCUCCAAAGCAACCUAUUGCAUUGGAGAUGCAUGGUGUACUUCUCUUGGAGACAAACUUUUGUUCUUUCUUGUUCUGCACACGGAUGGUUGAUUUGGUAUGGGAAGAGAAUCCUGUGCCCUCUGAAGGAGUUGCUCUGAGUGUGAUUGUUAGUGAACUGCUUGCUUCUCAGACAAAAAAUGUUUUCCAAGCAGUUAAAGGCUUUAAAAAAGGAAGCAGCAAGACUGUAUUUGUAGCAUUUUUGGUUGUCAUUCUCCUUGUUGUUUUCAGUUUAGCAUUAAGCUUUAGAAAUCCAAAAUCUGCCUGUCCUAGAGUACUAUGCUUUAUAGUUUCUCACCCAGCAGAGUUAAAUACCAGAGGAGAUAUUUUCUAUGCAGAUACACGUAUUGUAUUAUACUGCUACCCUGGCACAUGUUUUCCUUCAAAUGCAUAUGUUACAGCUCUUCACAAUUUGUGUCCUUAUGUGUCUGUAUAGGACAUUUACCAUGUGGUUUUCACGUCUCUGAUUAUCCAUGGCCCAUUCAACUUACUACAUUUUACAAAUUUUGUUAUAUAACCCCUUUUUCUGCCCCAGUGACUCCCCUUUCUGGCAGCCUCACUGCUCCACCCAUCAGGAAGCAUAAGGCAAAGAUCAUAAGCCAAUAUAUUCUAAAAGGCCAAGCAAUUUUUGGAUGCUUUGGAUCCUAAAACCCCUUAAGGAAUGUCAAAAAGAGUGAUUUCAUGUCGUUCAUUUCCAUGGGAGAGCUCUCAAGGUAUGACGCUACUCAAUGAGCACGUCUACACGUGAUGCUACGGCGAUGUAGCAAUGCACUACAGCAACAUAGGUUCAGCAGACACAAACAUGAUGCUGCAGCUACAUGACCGUUGUGAUGUGCUCCUUCAUUAUAGUGCAUUGCUAUGGUGAUGUAGCAAUUAAAAAUAACCAUGUGCCAUCAGAACAGUGCAGUAAUAGGUGUUACUGCACUGUUAUUUAGUACUUCGUAAAGGAAGUAGUAAGUGACAGCACAGUGACAACAGUGCCAUAGGGGCAUGUGUAGAUGUGCCUAGUGUGAGGAAAGUUGCCAGAAUCAUCUUCAUUUGAAUGUGCUGAUCACAGUGAGUCAUUUUCAUUUUAGCCCUGCAUGAAAGACAGCUGGAAAAACAUUCUGCUGCAGGGAGUAAAAGCCAGACACCAUGUUUUAAAGAGACAACAGCCAGCCUAUAUUGACUGCACAAGUCCCUCAGUAAAGAACAGAUCCUACUCUGCUUGCUUGUUCCAAAGCAUUAUACCUUUCAAGCAGCCAUGCUUGGAACAAAUGAACAAGGACAAACUGUAGCCCUGAGAAAAAAUAAUCUUACCGUGGAAACCUCGAUCUUCAUUCGUGGAGGAAGGUAUUCAUUUUGAUGGGACAGCUUUCAGGGUGAGAUGCUACUCAGACUGAGGAAAGUUACCAGAAGUGUUCCCUUAUUAUAUGCAUUGAUCAGAGUGAAGCAGUGUUCAGUAAGGGAGGCAACUGCCCAAUAGAUACAAAGAACAGAGGAGAGAAUCACUGUGGCAAUAUCAUCUCGGUUCAGGAGACCUUGGGUUACAGAGCACUGGUCAUCUCAGGUUCCUGGUUGGUCCAAUCCUGUCCAGAGAUGUCUGGAAUCCACAGCACUGUCUCAGGUAGGUAGUUUAGCCCUUUUGGGCUCAGCUCAUUUUCAGAGGCCCCUUCCUGGGGCUGCCACCACUUCCCCUCACUGGGGCUCUGCUCCAGUCUGGACCACUCUGGGCCUACCAGGGAACCCACUUCUGGUCCCUCUUCUCUCCCUUCUAUCAGGCAUUUUAUCCCUACUUCAAGGGGCCGGCCAGUGAAUCAGUGCCAGCAUGCUGCCA